GUUUUAAUAGUUUAAUCUAAAACUUUGGUCUUGUAAACCAAAAAUGAAGUUCUCUUCUUAAAACU
rnacentral:tRNA from 1 species